AUUCUAAAUAAUUCGUCCCAGCCAAGAAAGUACAUCCUCUAAAAGAAUAUAAUAUUUAAUGGUCGCGACCCCGAUAUCAUUUAUUCUAUUUAUAUUGUACGGUUUUAUUAUUAUUGUUUUAAAACUAAUAGCUUAUGAAUUGCUAAUGAGAAUCGCGAGACUUUGAAGUCAUCGUCCAUUUAUUUUAUAUAAUGUGGACUUUAUAAUUUUAGCAACG